GAACGGAGCCCAAAAUUGUAAGUCUUUAAAUAUAUUCGUGUUCAUGUGUGAACACUUAUAAUAUACCUUAGUCGUGUUAUGUUUAUCUAUAUACUUUUGAAUCACAUCGCUUUCCUAUACGUUGAUUACUUGUAGACCCUAAUUUUCGAAAUCUGGAAAUUACUCUCCAGCUAGUUUUAAACCAAGAGACGAACAUUUGGAAACAGACCAUAUAUGCAGAGCUUAGCGCUGUGGAAAAAGAACAACGAAUUUUAUUUACAUUUUGAUUACGAUAUAUGUAUGUUACAUGUUCUUCAAAGAACUGCAAGCAAAUGUUAAUUUUUAUUUAAUUUGCAAACGACCAUUUAACGAAACCACAUAAAACGUCAUAGCUUUUCGAUAUAUAAAUUAGCAGUAAAGUGCAAAGACAUUAAUUACUACGGCAAUUAUUCGUGUCAAUUUAUUAUUGUAAAUAAUAACCACAUAUAAAUAAUUAUUAAACAAUGGAACACAAAUUAAACAGUUCAGGUCACUUGUUCAUUCCAUACAUUCCAUGUUCAAAACCAGCCCCUUUCACAGUUCAGUGUAUGUGUUUUUCAAAGGAUUCGAAAUUUUAAUUUUGGAGGUUUCACAUACUUAUUCUGGGUAAUGCCAUUGAGAGCACCAUCAGUAGCACAUUUUACCAGUUCUUAUUGGCUGAUCACGGGAAAGUUGGAAUGUCAACUGAAUGUUGGUAAUAAGACGUAUUCUGAGAUUACAAUAAAUAGCUGAGUUAAUCUAUAUGAAAUUAUUAUUCCGCCAAUUCAUGGUCCUUGAAGUCUAGUGUAAGGCUAAGCAAGUUUGUUGUUUCAAAAGUUUAAUGUGAAGUAUCAUAGGCAUUAAACAGUACGACUUUUUAGGUCACACACCAAGAGUAUUUUUUAAGUAUGUGUUAUUUGUCUAUUAUAAGACAAGCCAAUGCACGCGUUGUAUGAUGUUAGCCGUUUGGCAAUAUGUAAUUACUUCUUGGCCAACCCAGCUCCUGAAUUUGGUCCGACUCCUGCUGCUCAUCCUCACAUUCAUUCUCACAAGAUAUCAUGAUCAUGAUCGUUUAGCUAAAAGCAAUGUCAAUAAAGUAUGUAUCCAGUAUAUGCACCCAGUUAUCCACAUACAGCAACCGAUACUACUCAUGCAGUUGGCGCUGGUAUGUGGACGAGCUCAAAUCAUAGUUAAGUAAUACAUAUAUAAAUACAUAUUAAUUCUACAUAUUUAUACACAGCGAGGACAUACAUACAGUUACAUAUACAAAUACAAAUGGAGGUUAAAGGAUAAUAAUGCUUAAAGGCUUUAGUUCGUGUAAACAAUCUUCCAAAACCGAUUUAAUUCCCAGCUGAUCACAGUGAGCUGUGUUCAAAAAAAUAAUAUUCUAACCUUCUUCAUUUAACCAAUUGUUCCCUAGACCCAGCAGCCAUGAUAGGGUAUCAAAGUUACCUUGCAAGUUUUAAAAUGCAGUUGGAAUUCAGCGCAAAAUUUUCUUGUUCGUUUUCCACUUUUAUGUUGAUAAUGGUAACGUACUCAAUUAUUGCAAAAAAACCAAAGGAUGUUCCACAAGUAUAUAUUUCAGUGUGUCAUACUCAAAACAAUCGAAAUAACUAUUCUUCUCUGUGCCACAAUUAAAAUUCAAGUUUUCCUUGCUUAAUAUGUAAUAGAGUAAAAAAAAAUAAAUUAAAAUAUUCUUUAAAAUUCUUGUUUUAGGCUAUUCAGGAAUUGAUGAAAAUGACUAUGUUCUAUGUUUAAUAAUUAAAAAUGUUAUAUUCUGCUAUUCAAAAGUGUGUCAGCAAGUCGGAUAACCGCACGAGCCUUAAUGGUUAAAGGAAAUAGACUACGUAGUCAUUUUGAUCACAUGCUCACACACAAAAAUCAACGUUACACAAGAAAUCGUAUGAACAAUCCGCAAAUUAGAUUUUUCCGUUCUUUAUUACCUAAAAUCGAUUGCUUUUCUUGGCCCAAAGCAAGUAAUAGUUCUUCCUUCUCUAAAAACACGUCGAUCCAAAAUCUUGAAGCUGCCAUUAUCGCUUGUUUUGAAUACAGAAGUUUAGUUAAGCAAAUUCGAUUGAAAUUAUUUCAAUGUGAGAAUUAUACAAAAUAUAAUAGUUCGUGUUAUCUUUAACUGAAUCUUAUGCAAAAGUGCACCUGUGGAGGAAGCAUAUAAAAAUGUGCAAUGUACUUUAUUUAUUGGCGAGGAUCCAGGCUAUCUAAGGAUUCUGGGCAAAAGUAGACACUCAACCUUAAAAAUUCUUUCCUCUAAAAACUUAUACAAUGUACAAUAAUUGUUACAUAAACUUAUACAUACUUACAACUAUAACAUGCUAUACCGAAAUUACAAUAAAUGUUUACGUCUGACACUUGUGUUACUUAGUUGUAAUUGUUUGCAAGAACAAUAACCUUCGAGGAGACAACUUAUACCUAUUGGUGGGGCUUAACUUGAAACACGAAACUAUUACUAAUAUACAAAACUGUUGUUAUGUUUAGUCCAAAAAUAAAUUCCGAAAAUAAAUG
ensembl:ncRNA lncRNA:CR44922 long non-coding RNA:CR44922